rnacentral:sRNA from 1 species
AGCACCUAUGACCCUCCCUGAGAAAACAGGAUUUUGCUAUAUAGACCUAGCAAACCUUCUUUCUGCCUGAGAAACUGCUGUGUAGAAGGUUAAGGAGGAAGAAAGCUGAAACUUCAGUGUUGGUGCUGGAGAAUCUGGUAAAAGCACCAUUGUGAAGCAGAUGAGGAUCCUGCAUGUUAAUGGGUUUAAUGGAGACAGUGAGAAGGCAACCAAAGUGCAGGACAUCAAAAACAACCUGAAAGAGGCGAUUGAAACCAUUGUGGCCGCCAUGAGCAACCUGGUGCCCCCCGUGGAGCUGGCCAACCCCGAGAACCAGUUCAGAGUGGACUACAUUCUGAGUGUGAUGAACGUGCCUGACUUUGACUUCCCUCCCGAAUUCUAUGAGCACGCCAAGGCUCUGUGGGAGGAUGAAGGAGUGCGUGCCUGCUACGAACGCUCCAACGAGUACCAGCUGAUUGACUGUGCCCAGUACUUCCUGGACAAGAUCGAUGUGAUCAAGCAGGCUGACUAUGUGCCGAGCGAUCAGGACCUGCUUCGCUGCCG